rnacentral:rRNA from 1 species
AUUGAACGCUGGCGGCCGGCCUAACACAUGCCAGUUGAACGAGUGGCGGACGGGUUAGUAAUGUCUGGGAAACUGCCUGAUGGCGGGGGAUACCUACUGGAAACGGUAGCUAAUCCCGCAUACCAUCAGAUGUGCCCAGAUGGGAUUAGCUUGUUGGUUGGGUAACGGCUCACCAAGGCGACGAUCCCUAGCUGGUCUGAGCGGAUGACCAGCAACACUGGAAAUGAGACACGGUCCAGAGUCCUACGGGAGGCAGCAGGGGGAAAUAUGGCACAAUGGGCGAAAGCCUGAUGCAGCCAUGCGGCGUGUAUGAAGAAGGCCUUCGGGUUGUAAAGUACUUUCAGCGGGGAGGAGUUACCCGCAGAAGAAGCACCGGCUAACUCCGUGCCAGCCGCCGCGGUAAUAC